AUUGAACGCUGGCGGCAUGCCUUACACAUGCAAGUCGAACGGCAGCACGGGGGCAACCCUGGUGGCGAGUGGCGGACGGGUGAGUAAUGCAUCGGAACGUGCCCAGUCGUGGGGGAUAACCAGUCGAAAGACUGGCUAAUACCGCAUACGACCUACGGGUGAAAGCGGGGGACCGUAAGGCCCUGCGCUAUUGGAGCGGCCGAUGUCUGAUUAGCUAGUUGGCGGGGUAAGAGCCCACCAAGGCGACGAUCAGUAGCUGGUCUGAGAGGACGACCAGCCACACUGGGACUGAGACGCGGCCCAGACUCCUACGGGAGGCAGCAGUGGGGAAUUUUGGACAAUGGGCGCAAGCCUGAUCCAGCCAUGCCGCGUGCGGGAAGAAGGCCUUCGGGUUGUAAACCGCUUUUGGCAGGAACGAAACGGCGCAAGCCAAUACCUUGCGCUAAUGACGGUACCUGCAGAAUAAGCACCGGCUAACUACGUGCCAGCAGCCGCCGUAAAAC
rnacentral:rRNA from 1 species